UUCUGGUUUUCUCUGAGGACCAUUGUAAAAAUUCAUUCUCUUGGGUAGCUGGUCUCAGGACAGGCCAUUAGGAGCUGCUGCCAGAGAGCACAAUCCUCCGCUAAGGUCGGUCCAAUUUUCUCUGUCCUCUCACUCCUUCCCUUCCCGCAUUUAUAUCUUGCCUCUUUCUCUCCCCUCUAGUUUUUGCUCUCUUUCUCCUUUCCUCUAUCAAAUAUUAGGUUCUCCAUAUAUGCGUGGUACUUGGCCCCAUACUUUCAUUGCUCUGCCCCAUUGUGUUCGAGUCACCCCCCUUCAAUUCUCCUUUGCCUUUUCCCAGCCUCAAGCACCCCAAGUCGCGAGGAAACAACCCGGUCUCCAGAGGCAUCUAUCUGAGCAUUUCCUGAG
rnacentral:lncRNA from 1 species